CUACACAUGCAGUCGAGCGGGAGAUGUAGCUUGCUACAUUACCUAGCGGCGGACGGGUGAGUAAUGCUUAGGAAUCUGCCUAUUAGUGGGGGACAACAUUCCGAAAGGAAUGCUAAUACCGCAUACGCCCUACGGGGGAAAGCAGGGGAUCUUCGGACCUUGCGCUAAUAGAUGAGCCUAAGUCAGAUUAGCUAGUUGGUGGGGUAAAGGCCUACCAAGGCGACGAUCUGUAGCGGGUCUGAGAGGAUGAUCCGCCACACUGGGACUGAGACACGGCCCAGACUCCUACGGGAGGCAGCAGUGGGGAAUAUUGGACAAUGGGCGAAAGCCUGAUCCAGCCAUGCCGCGUGUGUGAAGAAGGCCUUUUGGUUGUAAAGCACUUUAAGCGAGGAGGAGGCUACUUGGAUUAAUACUCUAGGAUAGUGGACGUUACUCGCAGAAUAAGCACCGGCUAACUCUGUGCCAGCGCCGCGGUAAUACAGAGGGUGCGAGCGUUAAUCGGAUUUACUGGGCGUAAGCGUGCGUAGG
rnacentral:rRNA from 1 species